CCUACGGGAGACAGCAGUGAGGAAUAUUGGUCAAUGGGCGCUAGCCUGAACCAGCCAAGUAGCGUGAAGGAUGACUGCCCUACGGGUUGUAAACUUCUUUUAUAAGGGAAUAAAGUGCAGUACGUAUACUGUUUUGCAUGUACUUUAUGAAUAAGGAUCGGCUAACUCCGUGCCAGCAGCCGCGGUAAUACGGAGGGUGCGAGCGUUAUCCGGAUUUACUGGGUGUAAAGGGAGCGUAGGCGGGAUGUAAAGUCAGUUGUGAAAGUUUACGGCUUAACCGUAGAACUGCAGUUGAAACUGUCAUUCUAGAGUACGGGAGAGGUAGGUGGAAUUCGUGGUGUAGCGGUAAAAUGCUUAGAUAUCACGAAGAACUCCGAUUGCGAAGGCCGCCUGCUAGACUGUAACUGACGCUGAUGCUCGAAAGUGUGGGUAUCAAACAGGAUUAGAUACCCUAGUAGUC
rnacentral:rRNA from 1 species